rnacentral:ncRNA from 12 species
CCUAGUCUUUACCUAUAGAGUAAGACUGGGCCACAAGCCAAUUAAUAGUGCCUUUAAAUUUUUAGAAGUCAUAAAAUUCAAUUACAACAAUUAGUAGUUAUGAUAUGAAUGUGAAAAUUGAAGUAGUGGUGAUUUACUUUUAAUUAAUUGGCUAAUGCCU